UCUAAUUUGACAAUCGUCGUAUCUUCUAUAGUUUUGGAGAUUCCCAUGACAUCCUCACCUUGGACACAGCGUUUAUUGUUAUUUUUGAUUUAUGAGUAUAAGCUACUUAUCAUCGGGAAAAUGAAUCCUGUUCAUCCGCCCAUAAAAAAAAAACUUAAGUGGCACCUCUUGAAUCAAAAUCAAAAGCCUAUAAAUCGUAAAUAAAUAAACAAUCUAGUUUUGCAAUAUAUAGGAAACGUUUAGAAGAAAGGUUAAGUAGCUUGAAGAGUUGAUAAAUGUGUUUUGUAUAACAACCUGUCAAGUUACUGUGGAGCACCAAGUUGUAUAUGUGUAAGAAUUUUGUGUAAGCAACUUGAUAUAAAAGCAGAAGCGAACACAACCAAUUGACUCGUCCAAUGAUGAAGCGGUUGUAAUAACAAUUUCAAUGAGGGGGUAGUGUACCGCCCAUUAAACGUUUCCUUGUUUUAUUUCAAGUCUUGCUGAAGUGGCAAGAAACAUAAUUUAUAUACAUAGGCGGUUGAAAAUAAUAUAGUAUAAAUCGCUACAAUGUACUGAGUAUAUAAUAGUUGCUUUACAGAGGCCCGCGUAGAUAAAUCAAAUGCAAUUUACGGUUUGAAACAGUAAUCCAUUGACAUAAAAAUUGGCAAUUUAAGGUCUGAUACAUCCCAAUCGCAGUAUAUUUUAAAUUAUCGAUUUUGCGUUAUAUAUUUACGCUUCUGAUCCCAUUGUCACGUAGUAUUUGCAUGUAAUUUUGUUUGUCAACCGAAUACAAAGCAAGUUGAUGAUUUAAUCCCAUAUUAAAGUAUUUUAUAAAAUUUCGCGAUAAACCCGUAACAAAAUGAAACCGAGUCUUAUCUCGAAUAUAAUACGUGUAUAAAGAAAUAAUAAAAUGACGCAUGAACUUCAAUUUUGAUACAAAGGAAAGGAAAAACAAGCAAUGAAGUUGCACAUUUACGUGCCUUUUAAAUUUGAGAAUGGAGAAAGGAAUGGCGAGUGACAAACAGUUACAAAAGAACAACGUGUUAGUUGGUGCAAAACAACUUUACUAAGCACUCACCCCACUAUAAAAUAAAAGCAAUAAAAAUAUAUAAAAAAGUACAUCACUAAUCCAGCUACAAUUAAACAGUCUCGCAGUGUAGGAAUAGUUAUUUACAUAAAACUCAGGAAAACGAUACAUUACAUUUUACGGACGAGUUUUAUAUUAUAUCUAUAAAAUUUUAAUUUUCAUAUAGAACUUUUUGUGUCAGUGAUUAAAGUAUCCAUUAGAGAUUACCAAUGUGACAGGUGGCGAGAAAAGUAGUCAGAGUGUUACUGCCACUGUCAUUGAAACUAGAGUUUCCCGACUGAAGGCUUCAUGACGAUUGAUGCAUGUUUUUUCGCGAAAACAGUUCUAGAAGAUCAAACAAUAGGUAAUGCGAGGUUUAUUGAAACUCUAGCUCCAUUUUUUUAUACCCAUAACCUUAAAAACUAGCACCGCUAACUUAAAAAAUAAAGAUCAUUGGAGAUACAGCUUCUAAUCUAUAACUUAGGGCAGUUUGGAGUUAGUCCUACACAGUAAACUAAAUGGGUGUAGCUCUAGGGACCAUUUUUUUCUUGCUUUAAGGUUAUCUGAUAAAAAACCUUUUACGUGAACGCAUUUGUUGAAUAGAAAUUAACCGUUAGAUGAGCUUGAUUCGGGCAAAACUAUUUGUAGGUUAUAGUGGUGAAUCGCCAACAAAAUUCACUUUCGAUUUUAAAAUGUGGUCAUAAAUUUAUUUCACAUUUCUCGAUUACACGGCGGCGCUUCAAGACCUAUUUUUCAAACACUUUUCUAUGAUUAUGAUUACUUUCUUGUUUGCUUGUGUGUCAGUCGCGAAAUUGUCACUCGGUGUGCGCACGUAAACCAAUGCCGAGCGAACUGAAGGGCCGUAGAUUCACGCCUCUACAUCUACGGCCACGAACAAUAAAUUCUUUUUGACUUUUCAGUAACGGAAUAAAAAACACUAGUCAAAAGUAAAAAAAAAUUAAAAAACCACUUUUCAACAGAACACAGAAUCGGAACUAAAAUUAAAUUUUCAUUGAAAAAGUUAUUUUCAAUAUCGAUAAUUCUCAAUCUAUUCUUUAAACCCCAACACUUUUUCAACGAAAAUUUUAUUUUUCCUGUGUUCUGUUGACGAAACGCGUUUUCUUAAGUGUAUAAAUUUUUUUAGAUGGUGCUUCAAAAUGUAUUUCUUUCAAAAGCGUGGGGGUCAUUUUUCCCUCAAGGCAAUACCCCCCUUCCCCUUACUAAAGUGUGUAACAGAAUCGCUUAGCAGUUUUUUUUUGAAUUUGUAUUUUGUUCAACAUAGUAAAACUUCCAGAGGUCUAUGGAAGGCGAGAGAGGUGUCCCUACCCCUUUCGAGUGUAUUAGGCGGUCGUUGCUAGUCACCGCUAUAUUUGAAAAGAGUGCUCGAAGUUAAUAGGCGGUCGAUAUCAAAGAAGAGGUCUAUGGAAGAGGCGAGAGGUGCCAAUCGGUGCAUUCCUUUUUGCAACAAAACCUAGUGGCAACUUUAAUAUCGACAUCGAGGGACGUUGGCAUUUUAUUCCUAUGCAUAAUCACGAUCUCGAGUAUUGUUUUCACGAAGUUAAAGUCUGUUUGCUUGGAUUCGCUAUACGAAGGGACAUUUUUGUUUUGCAUUCAUCACGGAGUCAACUAUACCAUUGAAGGGGUCUCUUUCUAAAGGGAGCGGCAUUUUCCAAGGAGAGAUAAGAUCAAUUUUUUUACCAGCAGAGAACCACGCCAGUAACUGAAUUUGCAUAAGAAAUUUUGUUCAAUGUAAUUUUAAUAUUCCUAAAGGAAUCAACCCGGGAACUUUUUUCACAGGCAAUGAAGAAGGUUGAAGAAAUAAUUGAAUUUUAAUUUAUUUGAAGUAGAAUAAGCGUACAUAGAGGAAUGUUAAUGUUUCACCGGAGAUCAAAAACGGCGGGAAUAACCGAUCAAGUACGUCGGGGAGGUGACUGAAUUGCCGGCGAGUGACAUUCCUUGGGUGAUAGUGGUAGGUGUAAGGCGUGAAAAAUUUCUUGGCGUUCUUCCAUUAAUAAAUAAGUUAAUUAUCGGCGUAAUUCAUAUUCAGUUGCAAGAAAUGCAAUUUGGCGUGUACAAAAUUAAAGCGAAUUAUGAAAAUUAAAAUGCAACGGUGCGAUAAUACCUACCGGUGUUCCAAGGUUUUAACACGUUCGCGAGUUCAAUAGUAUGCUGUGCAUGCAGGUGGUUGCGGCGCAAUAUUGGUGUAUAUGUAUUGAACAGAGGCGUACGUAGGUACAAUUUAUUAGGUGAAUUGUAGGUAUUAUUUACGAAUUUGGUUGGCGAUUAAUAAUUGGUGGUUUGCGUACAGUAGAGGGAAAAUUAAAAGGCGGGUUAUGGGUGGUGAAUUUGAAUAGUUUUCAAUUAUUGAAAUAUCACACUGUACCGAUCCCAUCACUCCAUAGGCGUGCGUAUCGGCGUACGAGUUAUCAUGUCGGAUUGUGACGCCUUAUCCAUGGAAGCGGGCGAAAUGCUGCGAGAAUUUGCAAGGCAUCCUUAGUCUUAGGGGACUUAGCCCUAACUCUUCUUAUACCUCGAAAGCUGACGGCGGAAGGGGUUGUAAAUGGAUCGAGUUUGGCAACGCAUCCGGCGGACAGCAACAAGCUGUGUGCAUCCAAGGAGAUGUCCGGGCAGAUGUGGAUCGAGAUGGUGAGGAUGGGUCCAUUAACCGCUGUAUCUCCCAAGUGGAUAUGCUGGUGGAAAUGCAUGUAGAGUGUGACUCACUUAGGCGUUAUCCACGCCUGGAUGAAAAAUGAGUGCGAUGAUGGUGUGUGUGAUGGGCGCAAACAUCGAUAGGAUGGAACUAUUGGAUCUCCUAGAGAGUUAGUCUGUUGCUAAUGAGGGCAUUAGGAAUGCCGAAUGCUGCACGGGUAAUCAAAAACGGCGGGAAUAUCCGAUCAAGUGCGGAGUGGAGGCGACAGAAGAGCCAACGAGUGACAUUUCUUGAGUGAUAGUGGCGUAAGGCGUUUUGACAAUUCCCUUGCCGUUCUUCCAUGAAUAAAUAAGUUAAUUAUUGGUGUCAUUCAUAUUCAAUUGUAAAAUUAAUAUAUUUCUAACCAGAAAGUUAA